UACGUAGGGGGCAAGCGUUGUCCGGAUUUAUUGGGCGUAAAGGGCGCGUAGGCGGCCUGGCAAGUGACGGGUGAAAGCCCUCGGCUUAACCGAGGAACUGCCUGUCAGACUGUUAGGCUUGAGACCGGGAGAGGUGAGUGGAAUUCCCAGUGUAGCGGUGAAAUGCGUAGAUAUUGGGAGGAACACCAGUGGCGAAGGCGGCUCACUGGACCGGUACUGACGCUGAGGCGCGAAAGCGUGGGGAGCAAACAGG
rnacentral:rRNA from 1 species